rnacentral:lncRNA from 1 species
UAGGGCUUUGUGUGAAGAUGUAAAUGUGUAGUAAGCAUUUCAUUUUGUGUGGGGGAAGGGGAGGAGGGUGAUGGCCCGAGACCACAAUUAAUGAUCCCAAAUAUAGUUCCCUUUCAUUAUAGCGUAUUUUUUGUUUAUUUUUCUUUUCUUUCCUUUUCUCAUACAUUUCUUGUUUUUUUCUGGGUUGAAAAUGAAAGAAGAGAGCUGAAAUAAACUUUUCAUGAAAGUAGAGGAGGACGCUGAUUUG